CCUACGGGUGGCAGCAGUGAGGAAUAUUGGUCAAUGGACGAGAGUCUGAACCAGCCAAGUAGCGUGAAGGAUGACUGCCCUAUGGGUUGUAAACUUCUUUUAUAUGGGAAUAAAACGUUCCACGUGUGGGAUUUUGUAUGUACCAUAUGAAUAAGGAUCGGCUAACUCCGUGCCAGCAGCCGCGGUAAUACGGAGGAUCCGAGCGUUAUCCGGAUUUAUUGGGUUUAAAGGGAGCGUAGGUGGAUUGUUAAGUCAGUUGUGAAAGUUUGCGGCUCAACCGUAAAAUUGCAGUUGAAACUGGCAGUCUUGAGUACAGUAGAGGUAGGCGGAAUUCGUGGUGUAGCGGUGAAAUGCUUAGAUAUCACGAAGAACUCCGAUUGCGAAGGCAGUUCACUGGACUGCAACUGACACUGAGGCUCGAGAGUGUGGGUAUCAAACAGGAUUAGAUACCCUUGUAGUC
rnacentral:rRNA from 1 species